rnacentral:rRNA from 1 species
GACGAACGCUGGCGGCGUGCUUAACACAUGCAAGUCGAACGAAGAGCGCUGGACGCUUGCUUCUUUCAAUCUUAGUGGCGAACGGGUGAGUCACGAGUAAUCAACCUGCCCUUCUGAGGGGGACAACAGUUGGAAACGACUGCUAAUACCGCAUACGAUCUACUCUCGGCAUCGAGGAUAGAUGAAAGGUGGCCUGUACAUGUAAGCUAUCACUGAAGGAGGGGAUUGCGUCUGAUUAGCUCGUUGGAGGGGUAACGGCCCACCAAGGCGAUGAUCAGUAGCCGGACUGAGAGGAUGGGCAGCCACAUUGAGACGGAGACACGGCCCAGACUCCUACGGGAGGCAGCAGUGGGGAAUCUUGCGCAAUGGACGAAAGACUGACGAAGCAACGCCGCGUGAGUGAGGACGGCCUUCGGGUUGGAAAGCUCGGUUAAUCGGGACGAAAGGCCUUCUUGCGAAGAGUGAGAAGGAUUGACGGUACCGGAAGAGAAAGCCACGGCUAACUACGUG